GUGGACAUUGAUUUGCCGUGGACUUUGUAACGCCUAAUCUUCACCACUCAGUUUAAAGACAUUCUGCUGUGAAAAGCCAGCUUGUCAUUAUUGACAGUCGCGGUUAAAAACAAACUUGCCGUUAUAAAAUGAUGAGAUUGCAGAUGGUGAUAACAAACGUGCAGCCGCUGAUUACAACACAUAACAGUCUGGUUGUAUCGUAUAUACAGUUCCCAUCUACGUAUGCUUGUUAACGAUCCGACUAGACGGCCAAGAAAUGAAGAAUUGCAUCCUCCUUGUCUUCGGCUUGUUAGCCCUAGCAACGGCGGCUAAACUUAAUUACACCGGGCACAAGGUGAUUCGUGUUAUUCCCGAAGCUCCCCAAUCCUACACCACUAAAGCCACUGAAUACUACACUACUGCAGCCCCGGAGUAUUACCCCAAGAAAACUGAGUAAUACACCACACCUUACGCAGCUCCAGCCUACUACACUGAGCCCCCAAAGUAUUACCAGACUGAGGCUCCACAAUACUACACCACGAAGGCCCCUGAGUACUACACCAUAAAGUAUUCUGCUCCCAUCUACUACACCGAGGCACCCAAGUACUACUCAGCUCCAAGUUACUACCAAACUGAAGCCCCCAAAUACUACACCACAAAAGCGCCAGAGUACUACACCACCACUUACGCUGCUCCCAGUUACUACACCGAGGCUCCAGCCUACUACACAACAUAUGCAACCCCAUCCUACUACACUGAGCCACCAAAGUACUAUUAAUCGUUAAAAUUGUGUUGUCUAUCUAGUUCGAUGAAGUGUCAAUUAGAUUUUGUUUUAUCAUUGGUAGUCCUCGUUCCAAAUUAAGUAUUUCCUUGAUAUAUAUUUAUGCAUUCACCAGUCGUUCCAUAACAUUGUGGUUUCUCAAUGAAAUGUUGAAUACAAAUGUAUAUCGUUACCUAA